rnacentral:lncRNA from 1 species
UGGGUUAGUUUUAUGCAUUAUUUUGAAUUGUUAUCUUAUAUAUAUACGUGGAUAAUUGUAUUUAUUUAUGUAAAUUGCUUUCUUUGCUGUGUUCUGGGAUAAGGGACGUGAUGUCUCAUUCAUUUGGAGAAGGAUAUGCCACGAGGUCUGAUGAAGAAGGAUUUGGUGGCAUCUAUGGCGGCAACCAAUUCUUUCCUAAUAAAGAUGACAAAGAUAAGGACAUCAAUGAAAAUCACCCAGGUGACUGAUUAAUUAAACUGGUCUUUUCAUAUCAUCUGGAUGAUUUUAUUAAACUAAUCAAUCUUUAUAAUUUUUGUAACACGAUUACUGUUUUGAUUGUGUGGGUGUUUUGUAUCUUUGCGAAGCUUUUGACAAGAGCCAAGGCAGCGAAGUGAAGGAGAAAGAAAAAGCUAGGCACCAGACCAAUGCAUCGAACUAAAUGGAAAAAAAAAAAACUUUGCCAACCUGUUGGACGGCGUCUUUAUAUAAAUCUACUAGCAAUGCAUGUAGUAGUGUUUGCUGAAUAGCUUAGCUAUUAUCUAGAUUUUUUGUAAUCUUAAAGUUCCGGAGGAACAUGUGUGUUGGGUUGUGAAUCAACUCUUUGCUAUUUUCAGCUGAAUAACGAAAUAUGAAAUACGAGAAUAUUAAUUUUUGUUCAUGAGAUUCCCUUCAAAACCGAAGUAACAUAAAUACUGCAUAAGUUGACUAUGAACUCAAUGAGCCGAUAUACAGCUCAAAUAGACAAUCCAAGAAUACGGGCAUAUAUGCCUAUAUAUAAGAUGUUGGAGUACACCCUUCCGUUCAUAAAGUUUAGCAUAUGUGCCUUUAAGAUAUUGCAUUACGCACCUCGGAAAGCAAUCACAAAUUCAGAGAGUUUAGAGAACCCUCUUGGGAAUGGGAUCAUACACCAGCCUACCCAAUAUCUUAGAGGAAUGUUAAGAUCUUCUGGACAAAAUUUCAAUACUCAUUCUAGAAUUCAAUUGGUAUCUACUCACUAGCAUAUCAAAUAUUGGUUUGUUGCACUAUAGUGUAAAUAAGACUCUCAUUGACAGUAAAAUAAGGAACACUAGUCAUGUACUAUUAUUUUAUAGGGUCUUUUAGGCACAUAAGACUAAUAGUUAGUCAACUUCUAUAGGAAUACCCAAUUAGCUUACAAUUAGCCACUCAAGAUAUUUUAAAGAAUAUCUGUGAUAUAAAUGUUACUCUUAUGAUAGAACUAAAAAUUUUCUUAAAAUAUCCAAUUAAAUUAGAAACUCCUAAAAUAUAGACAAUUUUGUCCAUAUUUCUGAGCUAAAAAAAGCCAUUUUUCACGGUAUUGACAAACUCUUCAUUUUUCCUAACCAUCUAAAUGUUAUCAUCAUCUUUGAUCUUUUUAUCAUGCAAGUAAUGGUUUCUUUAAUCAUCUAAAUCUUGUAAUAAAUUAUAGUUUCAUGAAAUUUAAGAUACAAUUUUUCGAGAAUUGCUAUAAACAUUAUAUAUUUAGAUCUUUUUAGGGGUGCAUACUCUGCCCUUAAGACCUUUAGCAACAAUACCAAGUAGUUUCUCUGUCGUCUACAAAAUCAGGGCAUUACAGUUAAGGAAUCAUAUUAUACCAUGAUCAUAUUUUUAAAUCAAUAAAACGUGUUUCCGUGGAUUUCAAACGCAUUGGAAAAAAAAAAAAAAAAGCACCCUAAGCUGGUUCUGAUACCAAUGCCAGAAUAUAUAGCAUGCUCCAUGAAUUCAAAAACAAUUACCUGAAUUCUUAUCUGUUGCAUGUGAAAGUGGAUGCGGAAGUGGAAGAACCAAGGUUGAAUCACAGUUCAAUUUGAUGGGAAAUCACAAAUUCGGAAAGCUUUCUCAAAUUACAAUGUUAAGACUUACUUGAAAUGAAUUAUAGAGUUCUCAAAAACUAUAUAAUUAUUAUUUCUCUUGCAUUCCUCUCUGCCUUUACCUAUAAGGUUGCAUUCUUUAUAAUCCAUGCUCUCUGCAUCUUGUUACUCUGCUAUGAGAGAAGAUGAAAGAGAGGAAGAGAAAUUAGCAAAAUUCAACAUCAUUCAACUUCCCCUCAACUUUUCUUUAUAACUACGCUACUGGUAGAAAUUGCCGAAGUGGUAUUUUCUUCAAUAUAGGUUGGAUCGGGGCAGCCCAUCAUGGGCACCCUAUUCGACAACCUGCCCAGAUCUAAUACAAAGUAUGGUUCAGACUCCAGAGUUUUAUCAAUCACGUAGUACGUGUCAGAUCUGAAAAUUUCCCAUUUCAAAUGAAUCACCGCUCACUACGCGUCAAAAUCCUAGCUUGUGAAUCCAGUAACAAAGACAAAACUGUGCCGUUUAGAUGUCAGCCUGCAAUUGGUAUCUGGCUAUGUCCGUUUAGAUGUCAUUGAUUGGUUUUAUAGUUAACUAUUUUCACGAAUUUAUUUAAAUGUAUAUCAGUUCGG